UACGGGGGGGGCAAGCGUUGUUCGGAAUUACUGGGCGUAAAGGGCGUGUAGGUGGCCAACUAAGUCCGACGUGAAAUCCCCAGGCUUAACCUGGGAACUGCGUCGGAUACUGGAUGGCUUGAAUUCGGGAGAGGGAUGCAGAAUUCCAGGUGUAGCGGUGAAAUGCGUAGAUAUCUGGAGGAACACCGGUGGCGAAGGCGACAUCCUGGACCGGUAUUGACGCUGAGGCGCGAAAGCCAGGGGAGCAAACGGG
rnacentral:rRNA from 1 species